rnacentral:sRNA from 1 species
GGGAAGGACGAGAAGCUUCGACCAAGGUUCGACUCGAGCGUCAGCGAGAGAGCGUUGCCGCAGGCAACGACCCGUAGGGCGAAGCGCGCAGCGCUGAGUAAUCCUUCCCCCACCACCA